UACAGAGGGGGCAAGCGUUGUUCGGAGUUACUGGGCGUAAAGGGUGUGUAGGCGGUUUUCUAAGUUUGGUGUGAAAUCUCCCGGCUCAACCGGGAGGGUGCGCCGAAAACUGGGAGACUAGAGUGCGGGAUGGGAGAGUAGAAUUCCUGGUGUAGCGGUGAAAUGCGGAGAUAUCAGGAGGAACACCGGUGGCGAAGGCGGAUCUCUGGGCCUUGCCUGACGCUGAGGCGCGAAAGCUAGGGGAGCGAACAGG
rnacentral:rRNA from 1 species